AGUGAUGUAUCUUAGGGGUAGAGCAUCUGCUUUGCAUGCAGAAGGACACCGGUUCAAUCCCCAGCAUCUCUA